rnacentral:rRNA from 1 species
AGGAAAAGAAACUAACAAGGAUUCCCCUAGUAACGGCGAGUGAAGCGGGAUGAGCUCAAAUUUAAAAUCUGGCUGGUUUACUAGUCCGAAUUGUAGUUUAAAGAAGCGUUUUCGGUGGCAGCCUGGGUAUAAAUCCUUUGGAACAGGGUAUCAUAGAGGGUGAGAAUCCCGUCUUUGACUCAGUGCAUGCUACUAUGUGAUACGUUUUCAAAGAGUCGAGUUGUUUGGGAAUGCAGCUCAAAAUGGGUGGUAAAUUUCAUCUAAAGCUAAAUAUUGGCGAGAGACCGAUAGCGAACAAGUACCGUGAGGGAAAGAUGAAAAGAACUUUGAAAAGAGAGUUAAACAGUGCGUGAAAUUGUUGAAAGGGAAACGCUUGACACCAGUCAUGCGAGCGGAAAAUCAGUCUUUUGCGGUGGGGAGAUGUGUGGGUUCGGACCGCAAGGCCGGCCUGCGCUUCAUCUCUGCCGUAAGUGAUGCACUUUUUCGUUUGCAGGCCAACAUCAGUUUCUUCUGCUGGACAAAACUCUUGAGAAGGUAGCAGCUUAGGCUGUGUUAUAGCUCUUGAGCGAUACAGUGGAGGAGACUGAGGUUUUCGCAGCGCGUGCUCUCGGGCAAGGCUGAUUGGGUGCUAUGGGAUCGUUCGGUGUACAAUGCAUGCAUUUUGCGCCGUGUCUUUUCUAUACUCGCUCAACUCGGCU